GCCACGGUGGUCUAGCGGUUAGAACGCUGGCCUUGUAAUCCUGGGGUCUCGGGUUUGAUUCCCGGCGGUGCCC
rfam:Zootermopsis nevadensis contig14748, whole genome shotgun sequence.